AAGAGGAGGAUGAUCCCACAUUCCAAACAGAAGUCUCCUGGCCUGGGUCACCCCUUCCAGACCUCAACUCUGUGGGAACAGUGUGGCUGCUGUGUUUUCCUUUCUUGAUUCUGGCUAGGAGAUUAACCUGCUAGAAAGUCUACCACAUUGUUUAAAACUGAAAAAUGCGAAACCCCAUCAUUACUCCAACUUUUUAUUUUGUGCCCUGUGCAAUUUAAAAUUAUUUUUUAAUAUUUAUUUAUUUCUGAGACAGAGAGAGACAGAGCAUGAGUGGGGAAGGGGCAGAGAGAGAAGGAGACAGAGAAUCAGAAGCAGGCUCCAGGCUCUAACGUAUCAGCACAGAGCCCGACGCGGGGCUUGAACUCACAAACCGUGAGAUCAUGACCUGAGCUGAAGUCGGUCCCUCAACCGACUGAGCCACCCAGGCGUCCCUGUGCCCUGUGCAAUUUAGAGUGGUCUUAGACAAAGUCAUUAUCAUCACUCAUCACCUUCCCGUCUUUGUUGGUAAAUGAGUUGUCUGGAAGCCUUCCAGCUAUACCUUAGGUAAAAAUAACCUGAACAUUGUGUCCUUCGAUUGUGUUCAUAUGAGCAGUUUCUGGUUGUGUCCCCAGUCACUGUUAGAGCUGAUACAGUCUCAUGACACAUCCCAGGAGUUUUAUACCAAAACACUUGCUUUAAAGCUGUUAUGUGAAUUUUUACCUUUUUUCUUUCUGUAGGACUUAAUUACUCUGUGUCCUGUAGUAUGCUUCAAGUCAGAAUUCCCUAUGAAUUAAGAUGAACACAUCUGAGCUUUGGAGACAUUCACCACAAGUCACUUGUUCCUCACAGAAGACUUCCUCCAGGCAUCCUCCACUCCCCAGAGGUCUCAGAGGCCUUUGACAACACUUCAAGAGGGAAGACUCCUUUCUCAGGGAGAGGAGCAGAGGAGGCAAAGUGAGGGUCCGGCUGCAGAACUUUUCCCCAGGAGUGGCUGUGAUUCCACGAGCAGAAUAAGAGCCAUUUAUUUGCACUCAAUUUGUUGUGUUCCUAAUAUACCAAAAACAGAGCAUCAGGAGUCACUGCAGAGGAGGGAUGCAGGGUGAACUGGGACAUAGAUGCCUGCCUGUCUGGAGAAUGCUGCUUCAUUACUACGUAAUUACUUCUGUUAACCCUCUAGGACGGGACCCUUGCCAUUUUACUUCCGCAGACAUGGGCAGUGAUGUGUGGUGACAGCAGUUCCUCCUCUUGCAUCUACCACCCCAAGCUGUAGGUGGUAUCCAGUGGCAGGGACAGAGUUUUCAGGUACUGAUGCUACUCUCUUGGAUCCUGGUGGCAGAGAAGGUGACAGGACAGUGUGGAUCCAUGGGGACCUCCUCCGUUAACUGGACGAUUCUGCAUGCCCUACCCUAGAGGUGCCCCACCCCCAUGGACCAUUAGGCACGUCCACCUCCUGAACCUUGGCGGCCCUGAACCCCUCCACCUGCAACACUUGGUGUCUCUCGUGGAGAAGGAUUGGGGCUGUAUGCAGAAAAGCAGGCAUAGCGCUUCAGCAGACAUGCCCUGUACACAUGCCAUGUGCUGGGCCCCGUGAGGCAUGAGGCACAGCCGAACGUGUGUCCAUCUAGUUGCACCCCCAGCCAUCCCUCGUUGUUUGGGCUUUUUGCAGAUCCAGAAGCAGGCGACACUCCCAAGAGUGACAUGAACCCUGGCUCUGCCAAAACUGCCAAGAAGCACAAGGACAACUAUUUUGAAAUUUCAAGAGGACUGUGCACGGUGACAGACGACAGUGAUUAUGUAUCUAUUUUAAGAAGGUGUCAGAUCUGCCUGAAUGCUUUCCCUGCCCAUCCUGUCCCCUCCACUUUGUCCUUCCUACUGUCCCCUAAUACACCUUUCACCAUUCUGUG